rnacentral:rRNA from 1 species
AUAAUGCGGUCGACCGCUUUCCCCCUACACGACGUUCCGCUAAUUCAACCCAUUGCGGUCCCAAAAGGGUCAGUGCUGCAACAUUUUGCUGCCGGUCACGGUUCGAACGUACGGACGUCCAGCUGCUAAGCAUCCACUUGGACGCCUUCCUAGUAAUGACUCAAAU